AGAGACAGGGGCUGGUGUUGGAGAAGAGAUCAAGCUUUUCCUUGCAUUAUGAUAAUUCUCAAGAGUUGGUGUUGGCCAGGGAACAUUUCCAAUGACCAGUCUGGAUAUGAUAACUCUGGUUCCAGCAGGCUGAGAAGAAAGAAAUAGCUGGAAUGGAUUGGUAUGAUCUUUUCCCUUUGUGGACUAGUUGCACAUGUUUAUCUGGUUACAGAGCUUUAAAGCCAGGUGAUGGCCAGGUGGGGUGCUGAUAAACAAAAACUGGUACUCUUGACCAGAGUUUCCCAGUGCAUAACGUAGGCUUGGAAUAUAUCUUCAUUUGGAUUCAAUGCAUUUAUUUUUUCAUGUGAAGAUUUUUGAAUACCAUGCACAGUUCAGAACAUUGUGUACAGGCUCAUGUAGAGUAGAAUGAACUAUUCUCAGCACACAACACAUUCAUCAAAUAUAGUCGCUUUAUUUUUUAAAGAAAUAAUUUGUAAACAAGAUUCACUUUUUUUUUUUUUUUUCUUUGGGGCUACUCUGGAGUAAAUUUAUGCUCAGAGUGAAUACAACUGGCAAAACCAGGCAUGGAUCUCUUGCAAACUAUUUCCUGUCUGAACCGUGUGUACUCUGUUAUUGGGAAUUUAUUUUCAUGCUGCUCAGUUUUAUGAAUUCAGCUGGACCACAGCAUUACACACAUUUCCUAUAUGGGAACUCUACAUCUAUACUCCACUACUACCCUGUGUUCUCAGUCUGCCUGAACUCUGAGAAAAUAGCACCAAUGUUUUGCUUCCUUCUCUUCCUAUGGAAUUGUUGUCCUAAGAAGAACUUUAUUGCCAGAAGUUUUAUAUAAAAUAUCAGCCAUGGACUUUACUGGGAAAAGAGCAAGAAAAAGGAGGAAAAAGGGGAGAACUAAAUGUGCAGCCACCCUUCCAUUAGUCCUGAAAGGUACACAAGCCUCGGUUCAGGGGGUGGCAUACAGGUUCCUAUGUUACAGCUGCGUUUGAUCUUGACAAGAGAAAUGGCUCCAUUGGUUUCAAUAUUGAAGUAACUCUGUGAACUCUAUGGUGUGUGUAACACAAGAUGUCAGGCUAAAUGACUGAAAAGUCCUCAUUGGUCUUCAAAUCAAUAAAUUCCAAUGGGUGAUUUUUUGAAUCAUAUUGAAAUGUAUGUUUAUGACUAACUUUCAUAGCUGUUGCUAUAAUAUAGUGCCUGUGGGCUGUUGAAUCACAUGCUUUAUUUCAGGCAUAGCUUAUGUACCUUCAAGAGAGGAUUGUAUAAUCCCCUUUUAGAUUAGGUGGUCUGUGACAAUGCAGAUGAACGCAAAGUACAUCUAGAGAAAAACUGGAAAGCAAUAAGGUUACUUGGUUUAAUGUCAAUGUUAUUGUCUUUGGUUUAUAAUAAAUGAACUUUAGAAAGGGUUUCACUUACAACAAACACUUCUGAUAGCAUAAUAGAGUGAAAAAUGAAUUUUUACAGGCCCUUAUUCAGGUAAACUAUAACAGCAAGUGGAUACAAUGUCAGGUGAAUGGCUUAUGCAUUAUAUGAAUGUGUGAACCAGACACUUCUGUUGACAUUUUACAGAAGUCAUUCCACUUUCAAUUGAUUUAUUUUACCAUUGCAAACACUGUUAUCUUCUCAGCGGAUGACUUCUUUUUUUUUGUUUUACUCUUUUUUUUUUUUCUUUCCCAGAUUUUGUGUUGUCGUAUGAAAUGUUCUGUUAAUAAGGUUUUAUUUAUUUAGUUAUUUAACAGUCAUGUUAUUGAUCCCUUUCAAUUAAAAGGUGAACAGAACAAUAAUUGGUGAGGGAUGACUUCCACACUCAGCUGAUAUACAGCCAGAUACAGUCGAGGAUUUCUGAGUGGUAUGGCAGGCACUUUUUCAUGUGACUGAGAGUAUGUACUACACCUUCUGUGAGGUCUACCACCCGUUGUCUUUUUUUUUUUUUUUUAAUUAUUAUUAUUACUACUUUUUCCUUAUCCUUUUUUACCCUAACCAUUCUUUUCCAUAUAUUUGUUAUUUCACAGCCUUAUCUUGCUCAUUGGCAUGAAAAAUUACAGCCCUAUAGUGUACACCAGUGUCAGAGUUCAUAGAAAAAUAAAUAGUUCUGAAACAUGUUUGACGGAUAAA